rnacentral:rRNA from 1 species
CUCGGCCUUGCUGCGAUCGACAGGGCCCGCAAGCGGCAGGCGUUGCGGAUCACCUGGCUACGUGCGGGCGAAGCUAGGACGGCAUUUUUCCAGGCAAAGAUCAACUCCAGGCGACAGAAAAACUUCAUUCACGCCCUCCACAGUGGCUGCGCCAUCGCCACCUCCCAUGAAGACAAGGAACAGAUCAUCCACGAGCACUUCAGCUCCACCUUAGGGUCGACGAUGCUGCGUAGCUGCACCAUCAACUGGGAUGCUGUCCGCCUGCCAACCCUGCCCGCGGCCGGCCUCGACAACCCAUUCACCAAAGAGGAGGUGUGGGCGGCGAUCUGCAAGUCUCCACAGGAAAAGUCGCCAGGACCAGACGGCUUCAACGGCUCAUUCUUCCGCUCCUGCUGGCCCAUCAUCAAGGACGACGUCAUGGCGGCCUUCCAUCAGUUCUACAACCUCGCGGGGCACGACAUGUCCAUGAUCAACAACGCGACGAUCAUCCUCCUGCCAAAGAAGGAUGGGGCAACGGCGAUCACUGACUACAGGCCUAUCAGCCUGAUCCAUUCAAUCGCGAAGCUCAUCUCCAAGGUCCUCUCCAUCAGGCUCGCCUCCGUCAUCGGCUGCAUUAUCUCGCCUGCGCAGACGGCUUUCUUGAAGACAAAAUGCAUACAUGACAUCUUCCUCUAUGUGCAAAACUCCGUCAAGGCCCUGCACCGCCGAAGACACCGUGUCUUCUUAUGA